rnacentral:snoRNA from 1 species
GGAUCGAUGAUGACUCCCUCAUAUGCAUUCCUUGGAAAGCUGAACAAAAUGAGUGAGAACCCUCUACCGUCGUUCUCAUCGAAUCUGAGGUCC